rnacentral:rRNA from 1 species
CCUACGGGGGGCAGCAGUGAGGAAUAUUGGUCAAUGGACGAGAGUCUGAACCAGCCAAGUAGCGUGAAGGAUGACUGCCCUAUGGGUUGUAAACUUCUUUUAUAUGGGAAUAAAACGUUCCACGUGUGGGAUUUUGUAUGUACCAUAUGAAUAAGGAUCGGCUAACUCCGUGCCAGCAGCCGCGGUAAGACGGAGGAUCCGAGCGUUAUCCGGAUUUAUUGGGUUUAAAGGGAGCGUAGGUGGAUUGUUAAGUCAGUUGUGAAAGUUUGCGGCUCAACCGUAAAAUUGCAGUUGAAACUGGCAGUCUUGAGUACAGUAGAGGUGGGCGGAAUUCGUGGUGUAGCGGUGAAAUGCUUAGAUAUCACGAAGAACUCCGAUUGCGAAGGCAGUUCACUGGACUGCAACUGACACUGAGGCGCGAAAGUGUGGGUAUCAAACAGGAUUAGAUACCCGUGUAGUC